rnacentral:lncRNA from 1 species
UGUGAGAAGGCACUUCUGGACGUCAACGUGGCUGCCAGCCAUCCAGGGAACAGAAGGCAGAAGGGCCUGCUGUGGCUGUUGGAUCCAGAGGUCUGUGGGACGAGCCGAGGGAGAAUGCCUGUAAACGGGCGGGACUUGAAGAUGAAGGUGGAGUGACUUCCCUCUCUCUCAUGAUGUGGUUUCCUGUCUUCUGUUCACUGCAGCAGCUCAAGGGUGGAGACCCUGGUUCUCAGUGACUUCAACAAGGCUGGUUGCCCGCUUGGCUCACCACCCUGGCCCUGGAGUCCCAAAUUGGCAUGAAGCUGGUUCUCCAUGAAUAUUUGUUGAAUUAAUGGAUCUGGUGGUGGAAUGACUACCGGAACAUUUGAUAUGCCACCACAUCCUACCACGGCAAAAGUCAUACCUGUCCCCGGGUGGAGUCCAGCAUGGAUUUCUGGCCACCUGUACACCUGGAAUUUCCUGAUCUGCAGUCACUAAAUAUUUUCAGUAAAAGCAAUUAUUAUAUGACAAAAUAAAAGGCUUCCUUUUCAUACUUUUGAAAAACAUGAUGAUAAAACAAAUCAGAAAAAAUG